GGCUGCAGUUAAAUCGUUUCACAUGAGGGCAGGCCCUGUUAAGAACAGAGUGUUGUGGAGUAUUUCAAAAUGGGUCCUUUCCCACUCACCCCCUAAGAACCUGACUGACCUCCUCUAGGCUUCCACACUCUGGCCCUGGAUUCUAUGGUGAUUUCUGCUCGUGAGUCUCUGCUCUGAGGUUUCCAUGACCAGGCUUCACGGCUGCAUCACACACUGUGCAUCAAUGGCCUGGUGAAGGCUGGCAUGGGAAGAGGCGAUGGUACAGGGAGGACGUAGCUGAAUUGGACCGGCAGCUUUCAUUGCAGCCCUCUGAUGACGUGCCUCCACACAGGGAGCCCUUUCUGAGCCGACAUGGCAUUAUCAGUAAAGAAAUGUGACACAUAAAGAAACUUUUGAGUCAACGGUUUUUAAAAAUGCAGCCAGCUUUCCAUCAGUCAUGCCAGAGGAGCAAUGGAAUAUUACCAUUCUAUUUUCUUUUUAGAAAAUUGCACCAUAAAAUUAUUGUCACGUGGAGAGGCAAAGAAUAUGCACUGAAAAUUGUUGGAAGUAAAGUAUUAGACAGUGUAUCAGUUUGUUAAUAGUUCCGAUGUGUUCUUUUCCUGCCUUGUGUGAUAUUUGUGGCGCUUGGCGGUUUUCUUUCUUUAUUUUUAUUUGUCGGGAUUUCUUAUUCCCAAUAAAUAUACACCUUCAUCCCUUAGUUUUAUUCAUACUUUUAUAAUCUUUUCUUAAAGAGGGGGUCAUAUGAUUGAGUAUGUUUCAGGCACUGCAAAAUCUGAAUCAGCCCGAGUCCACGGGUAAAGUCUCUCUUUUGGCAUGCAAUGGUACCAGUUCAAGACUGCGUCUCGGGUAGAGAUCUUGUCUCCUCUGUUGCAGAUUCUUUACACCACAAAUCCUUCUUUCUCACUUUGUGUAUUGUGACUAGUGUGUUUGUCAGUUGCCUGGUAUUCUUUGCCUUGGUCAUAAAUGACUUGGAAAUGGACAAUGUUGAACUUGCAUAUGGGGA